GUCUACAGCCAUACCACCCUGAACUCACCUGAUCUCAGAAGCUAAGCAGAGUUGGACUGAGUUAGUGCUUGGAUGGGAAACAAUGGUUUUUUAAAACAUUGAAUAUCAGGCAACAGAAGACA
rnacentral:rRNA from 1 species